rnacentral:rRNA from 1 species
UACGUAGGGGACAAGCGUUGUCCGGAAUUACUGGGCGUAAAGAGCACGUAGGCGGACUAUUAAGUCAGGUGUGAAAGACCGCAGCUCAACUGCGGGGUUGCACUUGAAACUGGAAGUCUUGAGGGCAGGAGAGGACAGUAGAAUUCCUGGUGUAGCGGUGAAAUGCGUAGAAAUCAGGAGGAAUACCAGUGGCGAAGGCGACUGUCUGGACUGACCCUGACGCUGAGGUGCGAAAGCGUGGGUAG